CCAGCGUAGCUCAGUUGGCUAGAGCAGCUGAUUUGUAAUCAGCAGGUCGUGGGUUCGAGUCCCUCCGCCGGC
rnacentral:tRNA from 1 species